GGCUAAAGGAGCCCAUGGGUGUGGUCGUUAUUGACCAAAUCACCUCUUCUUUAAUUAUCCCCACCUCACCCUCGGUUCAUCUCCCACAUGACCUACCGAUUCUCCCUCGUUCCUCUUCCACCUGAUCCACCACCAUGAGCCUGACCUACACCUACGGUUAUGCCCCUCGUCCACCAAGCUCCCGAGAUACGGUAGGUCCAUGUCCUCCACAUCCACAUCCAUCGGGAGGAAACCGAGCAGGAGAGGUGCUGGCUAACCCUAGACCGACCUCCAUGUGGUGUAGGGGCUACAUGUGAGGAGAAUGGAGAGGCGGUGGGUGCAGGGGCUGAGUGUUCUUCCCGUGGGAGUAGGAUCUGGGCAGGGAGAAGGAGGAGGCGCAUGCGUCGUCGCAGCAUCAAGGAAGACCUGACCUUUAAGAUGCUCUUAUUCGUUGUUGCAGAUUUAUUUGUAAAAGAAGAUAAGAUUGGUCAAGCAAGCUCUUCCUCACAUGUUUCCUUAUAUGACUUUUCUCCAAUUAAGGUAUGUUAGGAAGAUGGCAAACGCUUUAGUUGUUUUGUACAGAGAAGAUUAUUCUUGAUACUCUGGAUAGGUCUAGUUGUUCUUGAAUUAGUUCCAAUAAGUAUCUAUUGAUUUGGUUCCUUUUAUUUCUACAGGUUCGAGUACUAUAGUCAGAAAAAUCCAUUUGAGAUCACAAUUUUUGCUGGUCCCGAGUAAUGUAUUAAAUUCAUCCCGAACUUUAAGUUCAGAGAAGAUG
rnacentral:lncRNA from 1 species